GUCUUUUGUUUGUAUUAUGGGGUAUGUUAAGAAAAAAAGGGAGAAAUGGGGGUUGUGUUUUUUGGGGUAAAAAAAGGGUAGGGCACCUUUGACGCCAACGAAUCGGCCGAAAAAGACGCCCUACCGGGUGCAACUAGGGGGUGUAAUAAAAGGACAGUGGUGUUCACUGAUGAUCCUUCCGCAGGUUCACCUACGGAAA
rnacentral:misc_RNA from 1 species